rnacentral:misc_RNA from 1 species
UUUCCGUAGGUGAACCUGCGGAAGGAUCAUUAAAGAGAUCAUGCCCUCACGGGUAGACCUCCCACCCUUUGUUUACAAUACCUUUGUUGCUUUGGCGGGCCCGUUUGGCCCCGCGCUGAACAACCGGCCCCGGCUGGUCAGUGCCCGCCAGAGAACCGAAAACUCUGAAUUAAAUGUCGUCUGAGUACUAUGUAAUAGUUAAAACUUUCAACAACGGAUCUCUUGGUUCUGGCAUCAUGAAGAACGCAGC